UGGGGAAUUGUUCGCAAUGGGCGCAAGCCUGACGACGCAACGCCGCGUGGAGGAUGAAGAUCUUCGGGUCGUAAACUCCUGUCGAGCGGGAAGAACACUUUCCGGGUGAACAAUCCGGAAGGCUGACGGUACCGCUAAAGGAAGCCCCGGCUAACUCCGUGCCAGCAGCCGCGGUAAUACGGGGGGGGCAAGCGUUGUUCGGAAUUACUGGGCGUAAAGGGCUCGUAGGCGGCCAACUAAGUCAGACGUGAAAUCCCCAGGCUCAACCUGGGAACUGCGUCUGAUACUGGAUGGCUUGAAUCCGGGAGAGGGAAGCGGAAUUCCGGGUGUAGCGGUGAAAUGCGUAGAUAUCCGGAGGAACACCGGUGGCGAAGGCGGCUUCCUGGACCGAUUACUGACGCUGAGGCGCGAAAGCUAGGGGAGCAAA
rnacentral:rRNA from 1 species